rnacentral:rRNA from 1 species
CUCCAGACUCCUACGGGAGGCAGCAGUGAGGAAUAUUGGUCAAUGGUCGGGAGACUGAACCAGCCAAGCCGCGUGAGGGAGGAAGGUACAGAGUAUCGUAAACCUCUUUUGUCAGGGAACAAAGGCGGGGACGUGUCCCCGGAUGAGUGUACCUGAAGAAAAAGCAUCGGCUAACUCCGUGCCAGCAGCCGCGGUAAUACGGAGGAUGCGAGCGUUAUCCGGAUUUAUUGGGUUUAAAGGGUGCGUAGGCGGUCCGUUAAGUCAGCGGUAAAAUUGCGGGGCUCAACCCCGUCGAGCCGUUGAAACUGGCAGACUUGAGUUGGCGAGAAGUAUGCGGAAUGCGUGGUGUAGCGGUGAAAUGCAUAGAUAUCACGCAGAACUCCGAUUGCGAAGGCAGCAUACCGGCGCCCAACUGACGCUGAAGCACGAAAGCGUGGGUAUCGAACAGGAUUAGAUACCCGAGUA